rnacentral:misc_RNA from 1 species
UACGUAGGUGGCAAGCGUUGUCCGGAUUUACUGGGUGUAAAGGGUGUGUAGGCGGGAUGGUAAGUCAGAUGUGAAAACUAUGGGCUCAACUCAUAGCCUGCAUUUGAAACUACUGUUCUUGAGGGUCGGAGAGGUAACUGGAAUUCCAUGUGUAGCGGUGAAAUGCGUAGAUAUAUGGAGGAACACCAGUGGCGAAGGCGGGUUACUGGACGACACCUGACGCUGAGACACGAAAGUGUGGGGAGCAAACAGG